GUUGAGGGGAAUGUUGGCUGGCUCGAGGCUUUUCACAAGGAGGUUCUCACUGCCAAGAACAUAAGGCUUCGGACCAGGCUUCAUUCCCCUCAAA
rfam:Vigna angularis cultivar Jingnong 6 chromosome 4, whole genome shotgun sequence.